rnacentral:rRNA from 1 species
UACGAAGGGUGCAAGCGUUACUCGGAAUUACUGGGCGUAAAGCGUGCGUAGGCGGUUCGUUAAGUCUGAUGUGAAAGCUCUGGGCUCAACCUGGGAAUGGCAUUGGAUACUGGCGACCUAGAGUGCGGUAGAGGGGUGUGGAAUUCCCGGUGUAGCAGUGAAAUGCGUAGAUAUCGGGAGGAACAUCUGUGGCGAAGGCGACACCCUGGACCAGCACUGACACUGAGGCACGAAAGCGUGGGGAGCAAACAGG